ensembl:lncRNA
UAUAUAAGGAUCUAUAUAUAUAUAUAUAUAUAUAUAUAUAUAUAUAUAUAUAUAUAUAUAUAUAUAUAUAUAUAUAUAUAUAUAUACCACCAAAUCUCACUUCUAAUAUGGAUGCCCUGAAUUCAUUGGUUUGGAAAAUGAUCUUAAAGAGGAUGUUUGCUAUUUAACGACGGGGGAAACAAAUGGCUGACGUCAAGCAGGUCGGUUGUUACUUUUGAGGGAAAGCAAAGUCCCUUAUUGAUGCAAACCCCCAGGGUGUUCCACCCAGUUCAUCCCUGGGGCAAAGGAAAAAAAGACACAAAAUAUAUGGAUAGUCAAAAAAAAAAAAGAGGAUAAGAUCACCACAAAACAUGAGAUGAGAAGAACCUUUUUUUUAAAGCAAACCACAUUUAAAGCACCUAAAAAUGUAAAAAAGAAAAACAGCCUCACACGUACAAAUUAGCAAAUGUUAACAUAGAAGAACAGGCUUUGUCUCAGCAUGCCUCAGUAUGACCCAUAAUAUUAUCAGCUAUAAAGCCGGUAUUUCUGUCCCGGUCGUGAUGCUGAGGACCAUGUGAUGGUAAAAGCAUUUGGGCUUAUGGGAAGCGAUGCCCUCAGGGGACGUUUUGAUGGAUUGUGUUCAAGGGGAGAAGGUGUUCACGCAGUUAACACGCAGUUAACUCCUUCUGUCGCCACUUGCAGCCGUAAAAACGUGGAUUAAAUGCCCUUUCUAUUAAAUGGUGUAUUUUAAUCCUUGCAACAGCCAGCGUGGAAACGUAUUACUUGUCAUCGCUUCGCUAAUUAUAAAUCUAUCUGGAUUACAGUUUUACAAAAGUAUACAAACUUAUUUUCAAAGCACAGAAUCCCAUUCAACCUUUUUAUUUUAACAUUAUACUACUCUUGCAAACUGACCAUUGUGUCAGUUUGUGUAUUGAAGGGCUCUACUGGGGUGUCAGGGGGGGAGGUUAAAGUCUUUAAGUGUGUGUGAUGGUGUGUGCAAAUAUGCCAUGUUUAUUUUUGUUCACUUCAUCUUCUGUGUGACAUGUCUGUGCGGUACUAUAAUGUAUAUACUGCCAGAAAAUAACAAAGUUGUUCAAUAAAAACUGUCAUUCCCAC